GAGUCGUAGCCUUCCAGAAGAUACCUUGUUCUGCAGAGUCCAGCUCCUGCGAAUUCGGCGAGGUUCAGGUCGGUGAAGCCAAGCUUCUGGAAGGACCUGCCUCCCUUCAAUUCCUGCGAAAAAUAAUCUAUCGUUAGAACAGGGAUCGAGAACACCGGUGGACGCAUUGGCACUCAUCUUGCAUAGAAACUCGAAUUUAGCGUCCCAUCUGACGGUAUGCUCCUGUACUUCCUCCCUGAAACGAAAAAGAAAAACACGUGAAUAUACGUGCAGGGAAAUAGGACGGACGUGAAACUUAAUUGCAUUUUCAUUUGCCACGCGAUUAACAGUGACAUUGAAACGCGAACGAAUUUGGGUGACCAGUUUGCGAGUGGUCGCUGGUGGAACAAAGGGAUUAAACGAAAGUCACGGUCAACGAUGAUUCACAGUCUCGCGCAGAACACCGCUGAUCUGGCAACUUCUCACCGGCAUCUACCAACCAGAGUCGUUCAAAUGAAUAUUCAGACCACUUUGCUUCCGGUGCAAAAAUAUCCAUCGCCGACGAAUCGUCGAGGCUAACUAGCAGCCACGACGAUUCGUUAUCUUUGGAAUUAGAAACGAAACUGGCGACGAACGACGAAUCUCUAAACGAUCAAACUUACUUCGCCCCAUGGCCAAUAUCUGAGAACUGGAAACAAAGGCGCGCGAUUUUCUCGAUCUGAAUCGCAGGUGUCGAAACGUCGGAAGUGUUCGACGCUUCGACGCUCGAUGAAAUUCGGAAUCGAUCGAUGCGACGAGAAGUUGAUGGUGAAUGAACGUUAUCGUGUGAUUUCGCGUAAUCGACGCUCGACAGGGAGAGAAGAAAACGCGCGACCAAGCUGCUGGGUUUGCUGGCCAGAAGGAUACGCGCGCGUCGUACAAUUUCGAAUCGAAUUGGAAACACUGAGAAAGCAAAUGGCACGGGCGAGGCGUAAGUGGCGCACGAUUCCGGGCUGACCAGUUCCCUUGACCAGAAGAACACGAUCUCGCUCGAUAUCCUGGGACGAGCUUAAGCUGCUGUUGGUAAUGGGAUCGCGCGUUGAUAAUGAUUCACUGUUUGCAAUCGGUUUCACACGCUGCAAAAGGAACUGGACGAACAAGAAUAGAAAUACCGCGGCGGCGAGAAGAUGUAACCAUCUAAAAGCGCAGCUAAAGAGAAACUCGAACAAGUUGUUGGACAUGGCAGCGGCAACUUCGCAUCUCGAACGUCAUCGUACGUAGGAAUUAUCUUAAUGGAAUUAUAUUAUCGGACUGCGGAUCUUCCUGCAAAUUUAUAUCUUUGUCGACACAGCCGUGAAACGCAAAUAAACAGGGAUUCGUGUUAUCUAUUAAGAAUGAAACCGAGUAUUCUUUGCACUUUUAUCUACCUAUUACCUAUACGUUCUGUGCAAACUUCGUACAAACGCGUAAGAAAUCUAUCAGAGACGGGGAACACCUUCGAGACAGAAAGAUAAGUCUCUCCUAGAUGAUCCGCUCCGAAUUCUUGAUCGCUUUAUCCACCGCUCUGUCGAAGAGUCAAUGAUCGACGCGCGUUCGUUCGCGUAAAGAUGAAAAGAAACUUUAACUUCGGAGUAACUGUAAGCCGAUGGAAACGUAAUAGCCAAGACUAGGACUCGGUGAAUACGCGAGCAAGUGGUAUCGAAUGGUAGAUAGUCGGACGGAAAGCGAAAAGAGGCGAAACGCGUCGCAUGCUACUUUCGUCUAUAUUGGCGAGAAGGGCCGUAACAAAGGAAAGUCGGUGACUGCCGGGGAUCGAGAAUCACGAUUGAGAUCGACACGAGCCGGAAGAAUUCGAGUCGGCUCGUCAAGACGGACGAUUAUCGAGUUGACUUCAAUCGAAACGCAGGCGUCUAAAUUGUCGAAGGGAAACGUCGUCGUGGGAGACCGUUAUACGUUAGAUCGGAGGCGGGUUCGUGUAGGAAAAGGUACACGGCUUUCAAGCACCGCUUCCGCUGCUAGGAACACGUGUACGCACUAAUAAUAAGACGCGCUAACUAUAAGCUGACAAUUAACCGAGACCUUCCGUCCGAGACCGAGAUCGCGGUCACAAGCAGGAUCCCGAGGUUUCAAGAACCGUUUGCUUUCCAGUAUCGGCUUUCAACGCAGAAAAUUCAUUGAAAUUAAUGCAGCAGUUUGUAACAGGUUGAAUAACCACACCAGUCUGCUGAGAGGACAGCUUUUCUUUAAAUAGAAAGAACGCAAACUUCGCGUUCAUCGGAAUUACUUGGAAUACGUCGAUGUAUAGACGAUAAAUAAAAAAUUACAAACGACGAGAGAUAUGGACAUUUUUGGAAGCAAUGCGCGCAGGUGGUAGAAGAAUCGAUCGAUCGAUCGGUGUAUAUUAAUUCGUCAAAAACAAUUAUCUUUUUGGUACGUUUAGUUGCGUAUAAAAGUCGCUUUCAAGUUCAUAUUUUGUAACGCGUGAUUUAACGUUAUACGUUACGAAUCUCUGGUUUAACAGCGUGCUUCUAUCGUCAAGCACAAGAAUCGACAAGUUGCGGGCAAUUAAAUGAAAAAACUUGCACAUUUCGAGACAGGAUACCUACAUCUCGACGCUGGAAUACAAUUGUAAUGGCGUAAAGUCAACGCGAUAUCGCGUACGCAUAAACGGUAAGCUUGAAAAGGUUAAACGGUAUAAAUUAAUAGCGUUCCUCCUUCGACGCUGUACCACGCACGCGUUAGUCGUUACGACGUUCGGAUCGUUUUCUAUCGGUAAAUUUUCGCGAUUCGCGUUCGAACCACACCAAACUCGAUCGAGAUCGUCCUGCUUGGUUGGCUGUAUAGGAUUUAAUUGCGCGAUAGUUUACGAGGUUCGAAAUAAAGACGAUAACAGCGUGGUAAGUACAAUGUGUUUUCUUAUCGCGUUAUCGGCGGUUAUCGCGAACAACCACCAGCCACGCUAAUUAUCAGUAACAACGGUCACAUGCCGCAUUGUUCGACACAUAGGCGGCCGAUGUGCUCGCUGGCAAACGAACGAUAAUUACCAUCGGUUAAGGUACACCCGCUGUCGCGCGACGUCUGCGCGUUAUUAACGUAACGCAACAAUUGAACGUGUGAGACAUUGUUGUUACCCAGGUUCGCACGAUCAAUACGAAUCGACGACUCUUUCUCACGACACUUACUGUUCGCGACAACAGCGAUGGACAAAUCUUCGCGUGUUCUCUGUCUUUGCGACACGCGUAACAGAUUAAAUUUAUCGAUAAAGACGAUGAAAAGAUAAAUUGGCAACAGCCAGGCCAAAAAUUCUACGUCCGUCUCUCGUUUGUUCUCGUUGAAUCUACUCUCCUUCGUCGUUAAGGCGCUUAAAAACAUUCCUGGAACGCAAUCUGUCUCGCUGGAAUUAAAGCGCGCGCUGUUGUAAUUGCAAGUACUCGAACAACUCUUUAAAUUCGUGGCUUCUACCGGUCUUUCAGUUCCAGAUUGCAAUUGCCCGUUGGUGGAGCAAAUACGUAUGGAUUUGCGGUUAGCUCGCAGCGCGUACGCUUUCCAUCGUCUUCGAGACUAUCCUCGGAACUCCAACUUUGAACUUGCUGCUACGUUGAUUCGAGGAACUACGUUAUCCUGCCCUUCGGCUCGUUUGAAAUAAAAGUUUGCCUAGCAAUCGGUCAAUUAAACCACUUCUGAAGCAGAAAGUCGAAGACAUCCCUUCCGGUUCGCAGCAAUUGCAACGCACGCGCGAUUCCAAGCGCAUCGUUUCGCCACGGCCAAUGCUUCCGGGCGAAAUUCUAGCUAUUCGUUCGAACCGCUUACGUAACGUCGCUUAUGAAUACGUAACAAUGCAAAGUGAAGGUACUCGGGAAGAGCAGAGUCGAGACAGAUGGAAAGCCCGCUGUUGCGAAUUCCUCGAUCGAUGCUAAUCGGGGUAUACCUUUAUAGCGAGUUUCCUUUGCGUAUCUACCGUUGCUUUCGCGGUACGGUGCUCGCCGGAAACGAUACUUUUCGUAUACGAGACGCGGCGAAUGACACGGGAGCACGAGACAUUUUGCAACGAGACAGAGGCGAAAAUUGACGACGCGCGUAUAAAUUAUCGUAGAGAGCGGUCCGUAACGCGAAAGCGAUAGAAAUGAACGGAUGGCUUUGGGACGAAUGCCAAAACGGUCGGUGACAUUCUAAUCAAGGCUAAAAAGAUCGGCUGUUCGCACCUUUGGCCCGGUUUCGUCAACCGAAAAUUCCCCGAUCUGUUUUAGAUUCAACGCGAGUGUUUGUACGCCAAUCGCCAGUACGACACAGCAAGUUCUUUCGCGCGAACCUCAAGGAAACUUGCAUCUAGCACGCGAAUACGCGACACGAAAACGUUUCGCGCGUGUUGUGAAACCGCUGCGUGUGCAAUUAACCAACCUAGCCCCUUGACUUGCUUCUUUUCUACCUCUAAUUAUCGUUCUCGUUGUUAAAAUAGGAAGACUGUUAUUUUCUCUUUCCUGGCUUAAAUCGAUAUUCCACGUCCUUCUCUCUCAUCUCGUUGCACGCCGUUGCAAUACCGGUGUAUUUUCUGCUUCUUCCUCUUAUCUCAAUUGUCCGCGAUUCUUUACGAGUUCGGCCAGUUGCGUUUCGCAAACGAAAGAACGAUAAAAAUAGGGCACGGCGAAUAAUCCGACUUUGCGUAGCUUCCGAUCGAGUUGUACAUUCGUUGAACGAAAAUUUGUCUGUUCGCCGAAGAAUGCAGUUUGCUCCCGUUCCGUUCCCUGUAACCGGCGCGUGUCCACGCAAACGCUAUUAAAAUGGAAAUUUCGUGGAACAUCGAAGAGGUUCGCAGCUGUACGACGAACAUAUACGCAUCGGACAUGCCUCGAUUUUACACGACGGUAACACAACAGACAUAAAAACCGGUUAACCUUUAAACGUCUAGACUGGAUAUAUUCAAUUUUCACAAGCAUCUGGUUCGCGAGUCAGAUCGAUAAUUUGCCGUCGCGAAACUGUUUGUCUGUUUUCGUUGAUUCCCAGACGCUACCACUCGCCAGACCGUUCAAAUAAUUCACGCGGUUAUCGGCAAGUACCUUCGCACGUGCUUUAUAAUCGAUCGCAACUUCUUAAUAAAUAAAGCAAACAACCGUCGAGACUCGCAGCCGAGAUACGGUUUUCUUUCCACGAAAACGACGAUUUCCGACAACGUGGCGAUUCGUGGGCUACCUUUUUUAAACAUUCACGUCGUCGAGAAAAGUAGCAGCGGAUUUUAAGUUGCCAGAAGGCUACGUGUCUCGAGUCAGUGCCUUUGGACGCUCGUUCUUAGUGCAAUUUCUCGACGAACAUAUCGACCGGAGGCUGGCUAUAAAAAUAUCAGCGCUUAUCUUCUCAAGAAUCUGAACCUCGUUAUUCCUGGAAGCUUUUAACGUUUAGAUAUUUUUAACGAAAGUUUUAAACUUCCUUGCCGAUGCGUUUCGCGAAUACCUGUGACACGAAUUGCGAUCGUGAAAACGACAGCGCAGCGCCAAUACCGAUUAUCGAAGGUCACCACUUCUAAGAAAACUCUGCAUCUGGUCUUUUUAGCUUUCCAAAGCACCGAAGCCAUCGACAGCGUAUAGACAAAAGACUGGGACGAA